GUCCAAUCAGGUGUCUACGCUGGGGAGUUGAGCGUACCAAUCACAAGGCUUCUGUCAUACCUCACUUCCGCUUCUUCGAACUAAACUUGGCAA